rnacentral:rRNA from 1 species
CGACCCCAGGUCAGGCGGGCCACCCGCUGAGUUUACCC